UACGUAGGGUGCGAGCGUUGUCCGGAAUUAUUGGGCGUAAAGAGCUCGUAGGCGGCUUGUCACGUCGGGUGUGAAAGCCCGGGGCUUAACCCCGGGUCUGCAUUCGAUACGGGCAGGCUCGAGUUCGGUAGGGGAGACUGGAAUUCCUGGUGUAGCGGUGAAAUGCGCAGAUAUCAGGAGGAACACCGGUGGCGAAGGCGGGUCUCUGGGCCGAUACUGACGCUGAGGCACGAAAGCGUGGGGAGCAAACAGG
rnacentral:rRNA from 1 species